GCCUCCGUAGCUCAGUGGUAGAGCGGCCCUGAAAGACGGGUGACGGUAACGCGCUGGUUCGAGUCCAGUCGGAGGCACCA
rnacentral:tRNA from 1 species